GAUGAACGCUGGCGGCGUGCUUAACACAUGCAAGUCGAACGAAGCACUUUAUUUGAUUUCCUUCGGGACUGAUUAUUUUGUGACUGAGUGGCGGACGGGUGAGUAACGCGUGGGUAACCUGCCUUGUACAGGGGGAUAACAGUUGGAAACGACUGCUAAUACCGCAUAAGCGCACAGUAUCGCAUGAUGCAGUGUGAAAAACUCCGGUGGUAUAAGAUGGACCUGCGUUGGAUUAGCUAGUUGGUGAGGUAACGGCCCACCAAGGCGACGAUCCAUAGCCGACCUGAGAGGGUGACCGGCCACAUUGGGACUGAGACACGGCCCAAACUCCUACGGGAGGCAGCAGUGGGGAAUAUUGCACAAUGGGCGAAAGCCUGAUGCAGCGACGCCGCGUGAGCGAAGAAGUAUUUCGGUAUGUAAAGCUCUAUCAGCAGGGAAGAUAAUGACGGU
rnacentral:rRNA from 1 species